GACGAACGCUGGCGGCGUGCUUAACACAUGCAAGUCGAACGAAGAGCGAUGGAAGCUUGCUUCUAUCAAUCUUAGUGGCGAACGGGUGAGUAACGCGUAAUCAACCUGCCCUUCAGAGGGGGACAACAGUUGGAAACGACUGCUAAUACCGCAUACGAUCUGAUCUCGGCAUCGAGGAUAGAUGAAAGGUGGCCUCUACAUGUAAGCUAUCACUGAAGGAGGGGAUUGCGUCUGAUUAGCUAGUUGGAGGGGUAACGGCCCACCAAGGCGAUGAUCAGUAGCCGGUCUGAGAGGAGGAACGGCCACAUUGGGACUGAGACACGGCCCAGACUCCUACGGGAGGCAGCAGUGGGGAAUCUUCCGCAAUGGACGAAAGUCUGACGGAGCAACGCCGCGGGAGCGAUGACGGCCUUCGGGUUGUAAAGCUCUGUUAAUCGGGACGAAAGGCCUUCUUGCGAAUAGUGAGAAGGAUUGACGGUACCGGAAUAGAAAGCCACGGCUAACUACGUG
rnacentral:rRNA from 1 species